GUCACCAUGUGAUCGCCAGGAAGAGAGGAUGCAUAAGGCCUUCGUCCUCGAUAAGUUCUUAUAAAAUAUAUAGAUUAGUAGUUACAGUUGAUAAUUAAGACAGAGCUAGGAUAAGAAAUCCUAGUCAUUGGCCAGCAGCAUUGUACCUAAUAUAAGUCUCUCCUCCUUCAGCUGUGUGUGAUGGGCCCACAGAGUGACACUGGCAACCUUCACUGCUGUAUGGGGGAUGAGGACCACAAGAUGGGUUGGCUCCAGGCACUUGGUUGGGAUCCUCUUUACCCACACAAGGUCACCAAGCUGGAACUUGUGGGCAGGCAAGGACACAGCCUCUCAACCCAUCUGAUGAAUUGUCCUCUGGGUCUGUUGAAGAACAUGUAGGACCUGUAAAGACUUGAGGAGAGAAUGUGACCACAAGCAGCUUCUGCCUUGUUAGUGCCUGCUUGGAGGAGCCGAG
rnacentral:lncRNA from 1 species